rnacentral:rRNA from 1 species
UACGGAGGAUCCGAGCGUUAUCCGGAUUUAUUGGGUUUAAAGGGUGCGUAGGCGGCCUAUUAAGUCAGGGGUGAAAUACGGUGGCUCAACCAUCGCAGUGCCUUUGAUACUGAUGGGCUUGAAUCCAUUUGAAGUGGGCGGAAUAAGACAAGUAGCGGUGAAAUGCAUAGAUAUGUCUUAGAACUCCGAUUGCGAAGGCAGCUCACUAAGCUGGUAUUGACGCUGAUGCACGAAAGCGUGGGGAUCGAACAGGAUUAGAUACCCUGGUAGUCCACGCCCUAAACGAUGAUAACUCGAUGUUGGCGAUAGACAGCCAGCGUCCCAGCGAAAGCGUUAAGUUAUCCACCUGGGGAGUACGCCCGCAAGGGUGAA